GAUGAACGCUGGCGGCGUGCUUAACACAUGCAAGUCGAGCGAAACACUUAUGAUUUCUUCGGAUUGAAUGAGUGACUGAGCGGCGACGGGUGAGGUAACGCGUGGGUAACCUGCCUCACACAGGGGGAUAACAGUUAGAAAUGACUGCUAAUACCGCAUAAGACCACAGCACCGCAUGGUGCAGGGGUAAAAACUCCGGUGGUGUGAGAUGGACCCGCGUCUGAUUAGCUAGUUGGCAGGGUAACGGCCUACCAAGGCAACGAUCAGUAGCCGACCUGAGAGGGUGAUCGGCCACAUUGGGACUGAGACACGGCCCAA
rnacentral:rRNA from 1 species